CGUCUGCCGCCAAGUCUGGGGCUGCUUUGUUUUUUUCCGGCACGUCGCCCGUAUUCACAUGUGACACUUUCUAGUGACUCGGAUACUAUCGCUACGCUAGCGGGUAUCCAGAUGAAGCAAGGAGUGUUCAUGCUGUCCGUGUACGCUCCUCGCAUUUCACCGAUAAUGUGUACCUGGAUGAGAACAUCAUGGAAGUGCAACUUGGAUUGACACAAAAAAGGAACGAAUUGAAACUUGACGCCGUUCCGACAGUGUUCCACGAACAAAGCGAGCCAGCAAUUUCGACACUGCAGGCAGUUCGACAGGGUCAAGCGCAAGUGAAGGACCAGGUGCUGCUGAUCAAGUCCCAUCCAUCCAUGAAACGGCAUCAAACAAUGUACGUGUGCGCACGGCAAUUUUGCUGAGAGACCUGGUUUUUACACUAAUGCCUUUACAACGCCUCUGACAAAUUAGGAUCUCCCAGAACAGUGCUUUCUUCAUCCAAGUUCAAGAAGUAAAGAGAAUGACUUCAUGGCUUCUACUGACAUCUCACAGCUACAUGCCAAGACAAAAUGCCUUGACAGCAGGAAAUGAAAAGAAAAAAAAAGGUCCGUUUCAGGUCCACCCAAAUCUUUGUGCAGAGGCUGACAACAACGCUACUGUGAGAUGAUGAAUGAUGCUGAUGCAGCGUUGAGAUUAAGCCCUUGUUUCCUUUUUUGCAAUGCUAUACAUUACUGCUGGUUAAAUGUAAAAUCAUGCACCUACCUCCAGACAUUAAAGGGGCUACCAGAGAUGUAGUGUCAAUUCAACAGAAAACCUGCAUGUUCUACGAGGCACUGUCACAUAAGCAUUGGCCAAAUUUGCUGUCCUGUGAGCUUUGAUAGGAUAUGCCAUAGAUAGUAAGAGGCCUCUUACUGUAAAAGGGAGGUGCAUUAAUCGAGUAGUGGGGUCUGAGGCAUGAGGGCCAUUUCAGGAUGUACUAACCCUUCUAAAAUUUUACACUUGGUUAUGCCCAGAGAUCGAUCCAGAUCCCCUCCCAACACCCAGAGUUUUUUUCCUGUGUACCACUGUUAUAAUGAAACCAUCCAAUUUACUGUCCAAUCAUCCCAUUUUCAUUGCAAUUGAAGUACUUACAAAACUG